GGUUUUGUGGCUGAGUGGUUAAGUGCUUGGCUUCCAAACCUGGGGUCCUGGGUUCAAGUCUCGGUGAAGCCU
rnacentral:tRNA from 1 species